CCUACGGGUGGCAGCAGUGGGGAAUAUUGGACAAUGGGGGGCAACCCUGAUCCAGCCAUGCCGCGUGUGUGAAGAAGGCCCUCGGGUUGUAAAGCACUUUCAGUGAGGAAGAACGCCUGGUGGUUAAUACCCAUCAGGAAAGACAUCACUCACAGAAGAAGCACCGGCUAACUCCGUGCCAGCAGCCGCGGUAAUACGGAGGGUGCGAGCGUUAAUCGGAAUUACUGGGCGUAAAGCGCGCGUAGGUGGCUUGAUAAGCCGGUUGUGAAAGCCCCGGGCUCAACCUGGGAACGGCAUCCGGAACUGUCAAGCUAGAGUGCAGGAGAGGAAGGUAGAAUUCCCGGUGUAGCGGUGAAAUGCGUAGAGAUCGGGAGGAAUACCAGUGGCGAAGGCGGCCUUCUGGACUGACACUGACACUGAGGUGCGAAAGCGUGGGUAGCAAACAGGAUUAGAUACCCGAGUAGUC
rnacentral:rRNA from 1 species